AUCGCUUCUCGGCCUUUUGGCUAAGAUCAUGUGUAGUAUCUGUUCUUAUCAGUUUAAUGUCUGAUAUGUCCUCUAUUUGAGGACUAUAUAUUAAAUGGAUUUUUGGAAUUUUUUAGCCCCCUGCCACAUUUCUCCAUAUCUAUGGGAAAAAUAUUUCUCUGAUUGCAAUGAGACUGUAGAUGUGGAUCUUU